AGGAUGAACGCUGGCGGCGUGCUUAACACAUGCAAGUCAUGGGGGCCCAUCAAUGGGCAACCGGCGAACGGGUGCGUAACACGUGAGCAACCUACCCAGGUGUGGGGGAUAGCCGUCCCAACGGACGGGUAAUACCGCAUACGCUCAACACGAGGCAUUUCGAGUUGAGGAAACCUUCGGGGCACCAUGAGGGGCUCGCGGCCUAUCAGCUAGUUGGCGAGGUAACGGCUCACCAAGGCUACGACGGGUAGCUGGUCUGAGAGGAUGACCAGCCACAUUGGGACUGAGAAACGGCCCAGACUCCUACGGGAGGCAGCAGUGGGGAAUCUUGCGCAAUGGCCUAACGGCUGACGCAGCGACGCCGCGUGAGGAUGACGCUCGUUCGGAGU
rnacentral:rRNA from 1 species